rnacentral:rRNA from 1 species
AUUGAACGCUGGCGGCAUGCUUUACACAUGCAAGUCGAACGGUAACAGGCCGCAAGGUGCUGACGAGUGGCGAACGGGUGAGUAAUGCAUCGGAACGUGCCCAUUCGUGGGGGAUAACUACUCGAAAGAGUAUCUAAUACCGCAUACGAUCUAUGGAUGAAAGCGUGGGACCGUAAGGCCUCGCUCUAUUGGAGCGGCCGAUGUCAGAUUAGGUAGUUGGUGGGGUAAAGGCUCACCAAGCCAACGAUCUGUAGCUGGUCUGAGAGGACGACCAGCCACCCUGGGACUGAGACACGGCCCAGACUCCUACGGGAGGCAGCAGUGGGGAAUUUUGGACAAUGGGCGCAAGCCUGAUCCAGCAAUGACGCGUGCAGGAAGAAGGCCGUCGGGGUGUAAACUGCUUUUGUACGGAACGAAACGGCUCUGGUUAAUACCCGGGGCUAAUGACGGUACAGUAAGAAUAAGCACCGGCUAACUACGU